rnacentral:misc_RNA from 1 species
GAUGAAGACGUAGCGAAAUGCGAUAAGUAGUGUGAAUUGCAGAAUUCAGUGAAUCAUCGAAUCUUUGAACGCACAUUGCACCUCUCGGUAUUCCGGGAGGUAUGCCUGUUCGAGCGUCAUUUGUACCCUCAAGCUCUGCUUGGUGUUGGGUGUUUGUUCCGCCUCUGUGUGUGAACUCGCCUCAAAACAAUUGGCAGCCGGCGUACUUGUUUCGGAGCGCAGCACAUUUUGCGAUCCAGAUCAACGUACAGCGGCAUCCAAGAAGCCUUAUUUAACGCUCUUGACCUCGGAUCAGGUAGGGAUACCCGCUGAACUUAAGCAUAUCAAUAAGCGGAGGA